AUUGAACGCUGGCGGCAUGCCUUACACAUGCAAGUCGAACGGCAGCACGGGAGCAAUCCUGGUGGCGAGUGGCGAACGGGUGAGUAAUAUAUCGGAACGUGCCCAGUAGUGGGGGAUAACUGCUCGAAAGAGCAGCUAAUACCGCAUACGACCUGAGGGUGAAAGGGGGGGAUCGCAAGACCUCUCGCUAUUGGAGCGGCCGAUAUCAGAUUAGCUAGUUGGUGGGGUAAAGGCCUACCAAGGCAACGAUCUGUAGUUGGUCUGAGAGGACGACCAGCCACACUGGGACUGAGACACGGCCCAGACUCCUACGGGAAGCAGCAGUGGGGAAUUUUGGACAAUGGGCGCAAGCCUGAUCCAGCAAUGCCGCGUGCAGGAAGAAGGCCUUCGGGUCGUAAACUGCUUUUGUCAGGGAAGAAAUCCUCUAGGUUAAUACCCUUGGGGGGAUGACGGUACCUGAAGAAUAAGCACCGGCUAACUACGUGCCAGCCGCCGCCGUAAAAC
rnacentral:rRNA from 1 species